AAGGUGGCCUGUGAGGGUUGCUGGAGGUAUCAGAAGUGCGAAUGCUGACAUAAGUAACGAUAAAGCGGGUGAAAAGCCCGCUCGCCGGAAGACCAAGGGUUCCUGUCCAACGUUAAUCGGGGCAGGGUGAGUCGACCCCUAAGGCGAGGCCGAAAGGCGUAGUCGAUGGGAAACGGGUUAAUAUUCCCGUACUUGGUGUUACUGCGAAGGGGGGACGGAGAAGGCUAUGUUGGCCGGGCGACGGUUGUCCCGGUUUAAGCGUGUAGGUGUGUGUUCCAGGUAAAUCCGGUUCACUUUAACACUGAGGCGUGACGACGAGGCACUACGGUGCUGAAGCAACAAAUGCCCUGCUUCCAGGAAAAGCCUCUAAGCAUCAGGUAACAUCAAAUCGUACCCCAAACCGACACAGGUGGUCAGGUAGAGAAUACCAAGGCGCUUGAGAGAACUCGGGUGAAGGAACUAGGCAAAAUGGUGCCGUAACUUCGGGAGAAGGCACGCUGACACGUAGGUGAAGUGAUUUACUCAUGGAGCUGAAGUCAGUCGAAGAUACCAGCUGGCUGCAACUGUUUAUUAAAAACACAGCACUGUGCAAACACGAAAGUGGACGUAUACGGUGUGACGCCUGCCCGGUGCCGGAAGGUUAAUUGAUGGGGUCAGCGCAAGCGAAGCUCCUGAUCGAAGCCCCGGUAAACGGCGGCCGUAACUAUAACGGUCCUAAGGUAGCGAAAUUCCUUGUCGGGUAAGUUCCGACCUGCACGAAUGGCGUAAUGAUGGCCAGGCUGUCUCCACCCGAGACUCAGUGAAAUUGAACUCGCUGUGAAGAUGCAGUGUACCCGCGGCAAGACGGAAAGACCCCGUGAACCUUUACUAUAGCUUGACACUGAACACUGGUCCUUGAUGUGUAGGAUAGGUGGGAGGCUUUGAAGUGUGGACGCCAGUCUGCAUGGAGCCAUCCUUGAAAUACCACCCUUUAAUGGCUGGUGUUCUAACGUAGACCCGUAAUCCGGGUUGCGGACAGUGUCUGGUGGGUAGUUUGACUGGGGCGGUCUCCUCCUAAAGAGUAACGGAGGAGCACGAAGGUUGGCUAAUCCUGGUCGGACAUCAGGAGGUUAGUGCAAUGGCAUAAGCCAGCUUGACUGCGAGCGUGACGGCGCGAGCAGGUGCGAAAGCAGGUCAUAGUGAUCCGGUGGUUCUGAAUGGAAGGGCCAUCGCUCAACGGAUAAAAGGUACUCCGGGGAUAACAGGCUGAUACCGCCCAAGAGUUCAUAUCGACGGCGGUGUUUGGCACCUCGAUGUCGGCUCAUCACAUCCUGGGGCUGAAGUAGGUCCCAAGGGUAUGGCUGUUCGCCAUUUAAAGUGGUACGCGAGCUGGGUUUAGAACGUCGUGAGACAGUUCGGUCCCUAUCUGCCGUGGGCGCUGGAGAACUGAGGGGGGCUGCUCCUAGUACGAGAGGACCGGAGUGGACGCAUCACUGGUGUUCGGGUUGUCAUGCCAAUGGCACUGCCCGGUAGCUAAAUGCGGAAGAGAUAAGUGCUGAAAGCAUCUAAGCACGAAACUUGCCCCGAGAUGAGUUCU
rnacentral:rRNA from 1 species